rnacentral:tRNA from 1 species
GAUAGUGUGGCUGAUUAUAGGUGUUAGAUUGUAAAUCUAAUUAUGGGGUACACCCCCGCUGUCA